UUGGGGAGAGUGAUGUAAUCGCUGCAGCAUCCACGUCUUGAUUCACUAUGAGUUUCCUUUUCUGCGACUCUAUUGCACUGUUCCUUCUCUCUUCCGAUCCUUCAGCAAUAGGGCUUAAGGUCUGUGUCUCUGCUGCUGCUGCUCCAAGGUCUUCUCCAUCUGCUGCGUAGAGGAUUCUUUUUAUGGAACCAACGAGCUGCAGAACACAAACAAAAAGAGUGAUGAUUAGUAAACAUUCUGAAACUUCUUUAGAACGAGGAGGGAUUGAGAAGGCUUUUGCUUACAGGCAAGUGUUCUGUGUCUGGAUUCUGACAGAGAAUCUCUACAUCUCGUAGUUUAGAGAAGUAGAAGUCUCUCUCUUUCUCCAAACUGUCUAUGUAGAGUUUCAGUUCUGUGAUCUGUGUGAUAAGGAAAGCGAGUUAGUGAGCUUCUUAAAUAAAGACUUUGGUGUAAUUCAAGAAAUGAGAGACAACUACCUUUUCAUCGUAAGCAGCCGCCGCAGCAGCAGGCGCUGGUUUAGUUUGUUUAGACGAGGGAGCUCUUGACGAGUGGUGAUUCCCAGCGUUGGAGGAUGCUGGUUCGUGCUUACGGGUACCAUUCGAAGAGGAAGGUCUAGGUGCAGCUGAAGAAGAAGAACUCUUGCCAGAUGCAGCUCUCCUUGUUGCUUCUUUUCCUCCUUUGCAGGCUUCCCUUCUCUCCAGUGCGUGAUAGCUAGCGAUAAAAAUCAAAAUACAAGACAGCAGUAUCAGAAAUGGGUAUAUGAACUUGUAUCAACUAUAAUGCUAGUAAGUGGAAUCCACUAGACUUGGUGGAUUCAUCUAUUCAGGAGAGCCAGCACAAACAAUAAGCGAACUUAUCUAACCAAUGAUUCAUAUAGUUCAUUUUGGAUUUUGUCAAUGAAAUGGAUUCAGUGUGACGCAAUAAUCAGAAUCAUGAAGCUUCCAUGGUAUUAAUACAUAAACAUGGACAAGGUUAAGGCUCUGAUAAGCUGUGGAACUUACUUGUGAAGCUGGCCACCAUUAACAGAAUCGCAGUACUUCUUCAUCCACUGCAUGAACUCCAAGUUAUCAAGUGGUCUACCUUUAACGAGUUUGCUCACUUCAAUAUGCUACACACAUCCAAAAUUCAACAGACAAUUCAGUUUGAUUGCAAGCUCUAUUAUACCCUUAAAUAAAGGAGAUUAAAGAGGACCUUAGUGAGCUUGAGUUUGUUAAACACAUCCUGAAGCACCUUGUAGUUCUGAAUCAUCUCGUACUCACUCUUGGCGUCGAAAUUAACCUUGUGCAUCGGCACAGUACCAGGGUGAACCGAAUCCAUGAGCUGGCAGUGAACCGCGCCUGAACAAGCCUGUUAAUCAAUAGAUCCGUAUUCAGAUCCACAACACAGAGAAGGAUUCGAAAUCCAAAUUCCAAGGUCUUCUCCAUCUGCUGCGUAGAGGAUUCUUUUUAUGGAACCAACGAGCUGCAGAACACAAACAAAAAGAGUGAUGAUUAGUAAACAUUCUGAAACUUCUUUAGAACGAGGAGG
rnacentral:lncRNA from 1 species